rnacentral:rRNA from 1 species
CCUACGGGGGGCAGCAGUGGGGAAUAUUGCACAAUGGGGGAAACCCUGAUGCAGCAACGCCGCGUGAGUGAAGAAGGUUUUCGGAUUGUAAACCUCUUUUGUCGGGGAGCAAGACCCGCCUCGUGCAGGCGGAGCGAGAGUACCCGAAGAAAAAGCAUCGGCUAACUCCGUGCCAGCAGCCGCGGUAAUACGGAGGAUGCGAGCGUUAUCCGGAUUUAUUGGGUUUAAAGGGUGCGCAGGCGGACCAUCAAGUCAGCGGUAAAAUCGUGGGGCCCAACCCCAUCCCGCCGUUGAAACUGGCGGUC